GUCUGUGAGGUUCCCAGCAGUGCAAACUUCCGAACUUGUUAAGGUAGCGGACUGUUUGUUGCUGACACUCCAGCAGCAAACACCAGGCUGACCUCUGCUCCCACUCAGCUUUUUAAAGCAGCCGUACGGACGGUGCUAGCUUCUGGCUCAGCAGGCCUGGUGCAACAUCCGGGGAUUGCAGUCCAAUCCAGAGGCUGCUGGUUCAAGCCCCAGUUGGGUCUACAAUGGCAUCCAGUGUAAAACAAUUGCUGAAUCUUUUAGGAUUGCUUGCUGC